rnacentral:rRNA from 1 species
GAUGAACGCUGGCGGCGUGCUUAACACAUGCAAGUCGAACGGAAAGGCUCCUGCUUGCAGGGGUACUCGAGUGGCGAACGGGUGAGUAACACGUGGGUGAUCUGCCCUGCACUUCGGGAUAAGCCUGGGAAACUGGGUCUAAUACCGGAUAGGACCACAUUUUGGAUGGUGUGGUGGAAAGUUUUUCGGUGUGGGAUGAGCUCGCGGCCUAUCAGCUUGUUGGUGGGGUAAUGGCCUACCAAGGCGUCGACGGGUAGCCGGCCUGAGAGGGUGUACGGCCACAUUGGGACUGAGAUACGGCCCAGACUCCUACGGGAGGCAGCAGUGGGGAAGAUUGCACAAUGGGCGCAAGCCUGAUGCAGCGACGCCGCGUGGGGGAUGACGGCCUUCGGGUUGUAAACUCCUUUCGCUAGGGACGAAGCGUUUUUGUGACGGUACCUGGAGAAGAAGCACCGGCUAACUACGUG